rnacentral:rRNA from 1 species
AACGAACGCUGGCGGCAGGCUUAACACAUGCAAGUCGAGCGCGUGGCAACACGAGCGGCAGACGGGUGAGUAACACGUGGGAACGUACCCUUUUCUACGGAAUAACGCAGGGAAACUUGUGCUAAUACCGUAUACGCCCUUUUGGGGAAAGAUUUAUCGGAGAAGGAUCGGCCCGCGUUGGAUUAGCUAGUUGGUGGGGUAAAGGCCUACCAAGGCGACGAUCCAUAGCUGGUCUGAGAGGAUGAUCAGCCACAUUGGGACUGAGACACGGCCCAAACUCCUACGGGAGGCAGCAGUGGGGAAUAUUGGACAAUGGGCGCAAGCCUGAUCCAGCCAUGCCGCGUGAGUGAUGAAGGCCUUAGGGUUGUAAAGCUCUUUCACCGAUGAAGAUAAUGACGGUAGUCGGAGAAGAAGCCCCGGCUAACUUCGUGCCAGCCGCCGCCGUAAUAC